rnacentral:lncRNA from 1 species
AAAUGUCGAGUAGUAUUAUUACAGUGUGUACACUGCUACGUAAAUGUGAGCUGCUAUUAUUAGUGGAAGUGGAAAGUGGCUCUCAAAGCCAAGGAUAUGGAUUCACAUCCUGCUUCUGAUGCUUUCUACCUGUGUGACUUUGAGCAAGUCACCUAACUUCUAUAUGGCAAGGUUGAGGCAAGGAGACUAUUCAGGGCAUCUCUCAUGGAAAGGAAACUGUCUUCAUACCCACAAAUGAUGUUAAAGGUAUGAGCAAAACCUUUGUGAAGCCAAUUAAAAAUUAUGACCUCCAGCCAAGUGAGCUAAGCAUGCUUUUAGUUAAUUUAUAUUUUAUAUUAUUAUAUAUAUAUAAUAAUUUAUAUAUAUAAUAAUAUAUUAUAAUAUAUGUAAUAUAUAUUAAAAAUAUAUAAAUAAAAUAGUUAAUAAUCAUAGAAUAAUUUUCA